UACGUAGGGUGCAAGCGUUAAUCGGAAUUACUGGGCGUAAAGCGUGCGCAGGCGGUUGUGCAAGACAGAUGUGAAAUCCCCGGGCUCAACCUGGGAACUGCAUUUGUGACUGCACAGCUUGAGUGCGGCAGAGGGGGGGAUGGAAUUCCGCGUGUAGCAGUGAAAUGCGUAGAUAUGCGGAGGAACACCGAUGGCGAAGGCAAUCCCCUGGGCCUGCACUGACGCUCAUGCACGAAAGCGUGGGGAGCAAACAGG
rnacentral:rRNA from 1 species